UGAAAGGUAAUCCAGGUUCAUUCUAAAGUG
rnacentral:piRNA from 1 species